rnacentral:misc_RNA from 1 species
AACAGGCUGCAAUGGCCAUUACACCUGAUAUAGUGCCAUUUUGCAGUGAUUUCUGAAUCACAGUGGAUUCACGGGAAAAAACAUGAUUGCCCUUCAAAUACCUGUUAAAUAUCAGCUGUUAUGUAGUCAAAACCCUGGCUACAUAUCUAUGAUGAUAUGUGAAUACAAUGACUUGGAAGUUUGAUUUGAAACUUGGCGAACAUUUUUCUAUACAAGGGGGAAAUUUCUGGAAGAAAAAUGCAACGUAUGAGUUAAGAUUUAUUCCUCAUUUGUUUAUCAGAAAAACCCCAAAAGAAACA